UCCUCCUCAACGCCUCUUCCAGCUUCAAAGAGACGCUAUUUUCCUCUAACUACUCUUUUUUUCCCUUUUUUUCCUCCUAGUCUUCGUCCUUUUCUUCCUCUUCCUUUUCCUCUUCUUGUUUGUUAUUUUCAUCCUGUUCGUUCUCGUUCUCUGUUUCUUCCUUUAUUUUUUUGGUUUUCGUUACUCCUUUUCCCGUUUUCUUUACAUUUUCAUUUCCCUCUUCUAUUCGCUCCACUCUUUCCUCCUCCUUGUAGUUUUUAUCCUCCUCUUCCUCCUCCUUGUCAUCCUCAAUUUAUUCCUUGUCGUCCUUGUUCUCUCACGUUUUCUUCUUAUGUUUGUUUUCAUUUCUCCUCUUCUUGUUUUCCUUCCAUUUUCAUUCCACUUUCCUUCAAUUACUUCCUUUCCUCAUCCUAGUCUUCAUUCUCCUCUUCUUCCUUUUCCUCUUCAUCAUCUCCCUUUUUUAUUCCUUGUUCUCGUCCUCUCAUUUUUCUUCCUAGCUUUUUUUUUUCAUUUCUCCUCUACGUGUUUUCCUUCAUUCCUCCUCCGCUUCCUCAUUUCUUUUAUAUUCACCUUCUAUUCGCUCUACGCUUCCUUUUUCCUUUCUUUUUCUAUGUCGCUGGUGUUGAAGAAGAGAGAGCAAAAGACACGUGACACAAGGGCGGUGGUGAGGAGGUCUCUGUAUAAAUUCUGUUACGUUGUUCACUCUAGUCACGCCUCUCCUUAUACUCCUGAAGUGUAGGUUAGGUUAGGUUAGGUUAGGUAGUUAGCUGAGGUUAGAUUAAGUCUGUGUGCAUCGAAGUUUUGGUCAAGUUUGGUUAAGUUAGGUUAGGUUUGGUCAGGUUAGGUUAGGUUAGGUUAGGUAGUUAGUUGAGGGAAGAUUAAGUCUGGUGCAUCGAAGUUUUGAUCAAGUUUGGUUAAGUUAGGUUAGGUUUGGUCAGGUUAGGUUAGGUUAGGUGGUUAGUUGAGGGAAGAUUAAGUCUGUGUGCAUCGAAGUUUUGGUCAAGUUUGGUUAAGUUAGGUUAGGUUUGGUCAGGUUAGGUUAGGUUAGGUAGUUAGUUGAGGGAAGAUUAAGUCUGGUGCAUCGAAGUUUUGAUCAAGUUUGGUUAAGUUAGGUUAGGUUUGAUCAGGUUAGGUUAGGUUAGGUAGUUAGUUGAGGUUAGAUAAAGUCUGUUGUAUCGAAGUUUUGGUCAAGUUAGGUUAGGCUAGUUAGUUGGUUGGUUAAUUCAGGAUAGAUUAGUCAAAGUAUUGUCCCUUACAGUACUUUUUGCCGGUAAAUACAUUGAGACUUAUUAGAAGAGUAUUACGUGGUUAGUUUACGAGCCACGAACAGCGCGUCACCCACGGACAGAGGUGGUUCAGGGAAAUGCUAGUCACGCAGACACUUGAGAAAGAUGCGGCUUCUCCGAACGUGGUCAAUACGAAACUUGCCAGAAACUUUACCCUUCCGAUUCCGUAGAAGUUUAAUGAUCUGUGAAACUUAAUUAGAAAGAAAUGACUAUGACAGAUAUUCUUUUUGUCCUGUUUAUUUAUUUACUUAUUAAUUUUUAGGGAGUUUUGGAGCACUGGAAUGACAUACGUUUAAUUUUGGAAUAUUUUGUUUUCGUAGAAGCUCAUCAAUCAUAUUCUCUUAAGCUAGAAACUUUGCUCCUCCAGUUCCAUAUAAGAAACACAUUGCUGAAACUUAAGAGAAGGAAAGGGAGAAAGAAAGGGAGGAUGGAAGGGAGAGGGAGAGAGUUAAGGGUGGAUGAAGGGAGGGAGUGUAAGGGAGGAAGAGACAUGGGGAAGAAGGAGGGAGAGAAGGAAAAAAGGGGAAAGGGGGAGGUAGGGCAGAUAAGGGGAGGGAAGAAGAUGCGGAAGAAGGGAGGGAUGGGAGAAAAAAACAACCAAGAAUGUAGUUAGGCUUUUUGUUUUGUUUACUAAUGUAUAGAUAAUUAGAAUGGGAG